rnacentral:misc_RNA from 1 species
UUUCGAUGUCUGAAUCCCGAAGAGAUUUGGGAGUGCUCGCAAAGAGAACCGAACACAGGUGCUGCAUGGCUGUCGUCAGCUCGUGUCGUGAGAUGUUGGGUUAAACCCGCAACGAGCGCGCAACCCUUGUCAUUAGUUGCUACGAAAGGCACUCUAAUGAGACUGCCGGUACAAACCGGAGGAAGGUGGGGAUGACGUCAAGUCCUCAUGGCCCUUAUGGGCAGGGCUUCACACGUCAUACAAUGGUCGGGACAGAGGGCUGCCAACCCGCGAGGGGGAGCCAAUCCCAGAAACCCGAUCGUAGUCCGGACGCAGUCUGCAACUCGACUGCGUGAAGUCGGAAUCGCUAGUGGUGACCGUGGAUCAGCAUGUCGCGGUGAAUACGUUCCCGGGUCUUGUACACACCGCCCGUCACACCAUGGGAGUGGGUUUUACUGGUGAAGUAGUUAGCCUAACCGUAAGGAGGGCGAUUACCACGGUAGGAUAUGACUGGGGUGAAGUCAACAAGGUAG